GGUCAAAUCACAAUGAAAACACUGGUUCUCAUUUGCUCACUGAAGUUAAGCAGUAUUGAGCCUGGCCAGUACUUAGAUGGGAACACCAGGUACU